GAGGGGCUGAAGGCCUUGGACAAUAUUGUCACUCAAUUCAACGCCUAUGAAGAUUUCCUGGACUCGCAGAUCACUACUGUGGACUUGUACUACCUGGAGGAUGAAACCCUGGCCCGCCAGUUGGUGGAGCUAGGCUACCGAGGGACUGGAGAGAGAGUGAAAAGGGAAGAUUUUGAAGCAAGGAAAGCGGCUAUAGAGAUUGCAAGACUGGCUGAAAGAGCUCAGCAAAAGACGCUAACAAGUGCUGGUAAAGACCUACAAGAUAAUUUUCUGACGGCCCUGGCAAUGAGAGAAGAAGACAAUCGCAGUGGAAAACUGAGUGUAAGUACAUUUCAUCCAACAGCUUAAAAUGUAUACACUAAAGGCACAAUUAAUAUUAAAAAAUGUAACGUUAAAUAUCUUUCUUAAAGUAAUUUACAAGAUAUAAAA
rnacentral:sRNA from 1 species